rnacentral:rRNA from 1 species
GACGAACGCUGGCGGCGUGCUUAACACAUGCAAGUCGAACGGAAACGCCCCUUUGGGGGUUCUCGAGUGGCGAACGGGUGAGUAACACGUGAGUAACCUGCCCUUGACUGCGGGUUAACUUCAGAAAACUGGGGCUAAUACCGGAUAGGAAUCCUUGCUGCAUGGGGGGGGUUGGAAAGCUUCGGCGGUUUUGCACGGGCUGGCGGGUUAUCAGCUUGUUGGUUGGGUGGUGGCUUACCAACGCGCUGACGGGUCGCCGGCCUGUGAGGGCGAGCGGCCACAUUGGGACUGAGAUGCGGCCCAGACGCCUACGGGAGGCAGCAGUGGGGAAUAUUGCACAAGGGGCGGAAGCCUGAUGCAGCAACGCCGCGGGCGGGAUGACGGCCUUCGGGUUGUAGACCGCGUUCAGCAGGGGCGAAGCUUGUGGUGACGGUACCUUCAGAAGAAGCACCGGCUAACUACGUG